ACGGAGGAAGUCGAAAAUCCAUAAAGAGAGUAGGUA
rnacentral:ncRNA from 1 species